ACAUCACGUUGAAACACGGAUUCCUGUACGAUCAUCGAAGUUAAGCAACGUCGAGCCUGGUCAGUCCCUAGAUGGGUGACCACUUGGAAAUACCAUGUGCUGUAAG